UUUGUGAGAUCUUGCACUACAAACUGCAGCCAAGGGGAUCCCGAAUGGGCAAGACUUGAUCCUCAUACUGGUGAAACCUCCUGAGUCCCCAGGGACCCUGUCAGACCAGGCUCCAGCCUCCCUGCGGUCUCUGAGAGAGAAUGUGGCUAGUUCUGCCCCACGGCUCCCUGGCAGCGGUCAGAAGUGGCCACGCAGAACCCAACAUUCAGCCUGGGUGCAGACACUGCCUCUAGCCUCCUCCCCAAGCACUCUCCUAGUAUGGUAAGAGAAUAAACUGAAGUCCCUAGAGGCCAAGGGUCUCACCUAAGUGGUCAUAUCCUACA
ensembl:lncRNA novel transcript